rnacentral:rRNA from 1 species
UGCUAGAGUACGAGAGGGGAUGGCGGAAUUCCAGGUGUAGGGGUGAAAUCGGUAGAUAUCUGGAGGAACACCAACGGCGAAGGCAGCCAUCUGGUUCAGUACUGACGCUGAGGCGCGAAGGUGCGGGGAGCAAACAGGUUUAGAUACCCUGGUAGUCCGCACAGUAAACGAUGUGCACCAGGUGUCGGGCAACAGUUGUUCGGUACCGAAGCAAACGCGAUAAGUGCACCGCCUGGGGAGUAUGCCCGCAAGGGUGAAACUCAAAGGAAUUGACUGUUGAGGGAAUU